rnacentral:rRNA from 1 species
GGGUUGUGAGGUUAAGCGACUAAGCGUACACGGUGGAUGCCCUGGCAGUCAGAGGCGAUGAAGGGCGUGCUAAUCUGCGAUAAGCGCCGGUAAGGUGAUAUGAACCGUUAUAACCGGCGAUACCCGAAUGGGGAAACCCAGUGUGACUCGUCACACUAUCAUUAACUGAAUCCAUAGGUUAAUGAGGCGAACCGGGGGAACUGAAACAUCUAAGUACCCCGAGGAAAAGAAAUCAACCGAGAUUCCCCCAGUAGCGGCGAGCGAACGGGGAGGAGCCCAGAGCCUGAAUCAGCAUGUGUGUUAGUGGAAGCGUCUGGAAAGGCGCGCGAUACAGGGUGACAGCCCCGUACACAAAAGCGCAUGUGCUGUGAGCUCGAUGAGUAGGGCGGGACACGUGGUAUCCUGUCUGAAUAUGGGGGGA